AUUGAACGCUGGCGGCAGGCCUAACACAUGCAAGUCGAGCGAAUGAAGGGAGCUUGCUCCUGGAUUCAGCGGCGGACGGGUGAGUAAUGCCUAGGAAUCUGCCUGGUAGUGGGGGAUAACGUCCGGAAACGGGCGCUAAUACCGCAUACGUCCUGAGGGAGAAAGUGGGGGAUCUUCGGACCUCACGCUAUCAGAUGAGCCUAGGUCGGAGUAGCUAGUUGGUGGGGUAAAGGCCUACCAAGGCGACGAUCCGUAACUGGUCUGAGAGGAUGAUCAGUCACACUGGAACUGAGACACGGUCCAGACUCCUACGGGAGGCAGCAGUGGGGAAUAUUGGACAAUGGGCGAAAGCCUGAUCCAGCCAUGCCGCGUGUGUGAAGAAGGUCUUCGGAUUGUAAAGCACUUUAAGUUGGGAGGAAGGGCAGUAAGUUAAUACCUUGCUGUUUUGACGUUACCAACAGAAUAAGCACCGGCUAACUUCGUG
rnacentral:rRNA from 1 species